GAUGAACGCUAGCGGCAGGCUUAACACAUGCAAGUCGAGGGGCAGCAUGUCCAGCAAUGGAUGAUGGCGACCGGCGGAAGGGUGCGUAACGCGUGAGCAACAUGCCCUAUACAGGGAGAUACACCAGGGAAACUUGGUCUAAUAUCCCAUAGCAUUCAUUGAAGGCAUCUUUAAUGAAUUAAAGCUUCGGUAGUAUAGGAUUGGCUCGCGUGACAUUAGCCAGAUGGUGAGGUAACGGCUCACCAUAGCAAUGAUGUCUAGGGGUUUUGAGAGGAAGGCCCCCCACACUGGGACUGAGACACGGCCCAGACUCCUACGGGAGGCAGCAGUGAGGAAUAUUGGACAAUGGAUGGAAAUCUGAUCCAGCCAUGCCGCGUGCAGGAAGACGGCCUUAUGGGUUGUAAACUGCUUUUAUACGGGAGCAAUAAGGGUUACGAGUAAUCCGAUGAGAGUACUGUAUGAAUAAGGAUCGGCUAACUCCGUGCCAGCAGCCGCGGUAAUACGGAGGAUCCGAGCGUUAUCCGGAAUUAUUGGGUUUAAAGGGUGCGUAGGCGGCCAUUUAAGUCAGCGGUGAAAUUUUGCAGCUUAACUGUAACAGUGCCGUUGAUACUGUUUGGCUAGGAUUUGGUUGUAGUGUGCGGAAUGUGUGGUGUCGCGGUGAAAUGCUUAGAUAUCACACAGAACACCGAUUGCGAAGGCAGCACACUAAGUCAUUAUUGACGCUGAGGCACGAAAGUGUGGGGAUCAAACAGG
rnacentral:rRNA from 1 species